AUUGAACGCUGGCGGUAUGCUUAACACAUGCAAGUCGAACGGCAGCAUAGCUGUGGUAACACAGUUGAUGGCGAGUGGCGGACGGGUGAGUAACGCGUAGGGAUCUGCCCUAGAGAGGGGGAUAACCCGGGGAAACUCGGGCUAAUACCGCAUAAUAUCUGCGGAUCAAAGUGUGCGUCUUCGGAGCACAUACUUUAGGAGGAACCUGCGUCCGAUUAGCUAGUUGGUGGGGUAAAGGCCUAACAAGGCGACGAUCGGUAGCUGGUCUGAGAGGACGAUCAGCCACACUAGGACUGAGACACGGCACAGACACCUACGGGAGGCAGCAGUGGGGAAUAUUGGACAAUGGGGGCAACCCUGAUCCAGCAAUACCGCGUGUGUGAAGAGGGCCUGCGGGUUGUAAAGCACUUUAGUUGGGGAGGAAGGUGAUUAGUCGAAUAGGCUAAUCAAUUGACGUUACCCAAAGAAUAAGCACCGGCUAACUCUGUGCCAGCCGCCGCGGUAAAAC
rnacentral:rRNA from 1 species